rnacentral:rRNA from 1 species
AGUGAACGCUGGCGGUAGGCCUAACACAUGCAAGUCGAACGGCAGCACAGUAAGAGCUUGCUCUUACGGGUGGCGAGUGGCGGACGGGUGAGGAAUACAUCGGAAUCUACUUUUUCGUGGGGGAUAACGUAGGGAAACUUACGCUAAUACCGCAUACGACCUACGGGUGAAAGCAGGGGAUCUUCGGACCUUGCGCGAUUGAAUGAGCCGAUGUCGGAUUAGCUAGUUGGCGGGGUAAAGGCCCACCAAGGCGACGAUCCGCAGCUGGUCUGAGAGGAUGAUCAGCCACACUGGAACUGAGACACGGUCCAGACUCCUACGGGAGGCAGCAGUGGGGAAUAUUGGACAAUGGGCGCAAGCCUGAUCCAGCCAUACCGCGUGAGUGAAGAAGGCCUUCGGGUUGUAAAGCCCUUUUGUUGGGAAAGAAAAGCAGCAGGUUAAUACCCCGCUGUUCUGACGGUACCCAAAGAAUAAGCACCGGCUAACUUCGUG